GACGAACGCUGGCGGCGUGCUUAACACAUGCAAGUCGAACGGGCCUGUCUUCUUUUUUGGGGGUGGGUUGAGUGGCGAACGGGUGAGUAUCACGUGAGUAACCUGCCCUUCGGUCCUGGAUAACCGCUUGAAAGGGCGGCUAAUACGGGGUGGUCCGGUUGGUCCGCAUGGGCUGGUCGGGAUAGAUUCACUGUUUUUGGUGUUUCGGCGGGGGAUGGGCUCGCGGCCUAUCAGCUUGUUGGUGGGGUGAUGGGCUACCAAGGCGGUGACGGGUAGCCGGCCUGAGAGGGUGGGCGGCCACACUGGGACUGAGAUACGGCCCAGACUCCUGCGGGAGGCAGCAGUGGGGGGUAUUGCACAAUGGGCGGAAGCCUGAUGCAGCGACGUCGCGUGAGGGAUGGAGGCCUUCGGGUUGUGAACCUCUGUUUCCGGUGGUGAAGGCCCUGUCCGUGUGGUGGGGUUGACGGUAGCCGGGGAUGAAGCGCCGGCUAACUACGUGC
rnacentral:rRNA from 1 species